rnacentral:rRNA from 1 species
AUUGAACGCUGGCGGCAGGCCUAACACAUGCAAGUCGAACGAGUGGCGGACGGGUGAGUAAUGUCUGGGAAACUGCCCGAUGGAGGGGGAUAACUACUGGAAACGGUAGCUAAUACCGCAUACCAUCGGAUGUGCCCAGAUGGGAUUAGCUGGUAGGUGGGGUAACGGCUCGCCUAGGCGAGGAUCCCUAGCUGGUCUGAGAGGCUGACCAGCCACACUGGAGCUGGGACGCGGUCCAGGCUCCUACGGGAGGCAGCAGUGGGGAAUAUUGCACAAUGGGCGCAAGCCUGAUGCAGCCAUGCCGCGGGUAUGAAGAAGGCCUUCGGGUUGUAAAGUACUUUCAGCGAGGGGGCGUUACUCGCAGAAGAAGCACCGGCUAACUCCGUGCCAGCAGCCGCGGUAAUAC